UAUAAUGAUGUAUAGAUACCCGAUAAGGUCGGAGAAUACUAUGAUGAUAUAUGGAAUCCCGAUAAGGCCGUAGGUUGAUCAUGAUGAUGAUGGUCAUGAUGAUGGCACUUAUGAUGAGAUUAUUGAUAGUGAUUGUGUACCUAGCAUCCAUUCCUGCAUGUACAUUGCCUAUCACUAGUAUGCGCCAAUGUUUAUCAUACUGUAUGGGAUGACUACAUAGAUACGGGUGAAGAAUUUG
rnacentral:lncRNA from 1 species